GCAGAGCCAUGGCCCUCUUCUUUGUUCUCUGCUGGAUCCAAGAGUCGGGGGUCUCCCUAUGUUUCCCAGGCUGGCCUCGAACUCCUGACCUCAAGUGAUCCUCCCACCUCAGCCUCCCCGAGUGCUGGGAUUAAAGACGUGAGCCACGGCACCUGGCCUGAAUUUUCCUCAAAUUCAAAAAAUCCUGAUGAAGGUUUGGCUAAAAUCUUUGGCUAUUCCCAACAGAAGAGCUUGAACAAUGCUGCAUUUGCAUCAGGUUCAAAUGAGCGAGAGGAACAUUUGGCUAAAAUAUUUGAUGAAAUUCUACUGCAGGUGUUUCCAAAGUUUCCGUAUGACCCAUCAUUUAACGAAGCAACAGCAGUCAGAUCCAUUACAAAGACAGACAUGAGAAAAGGAACCAGCAUUGCUUGGAAUUCUCCUAAACCAGAAUAUUUCCUUGGCAGUGUGGACAAAAUUCCUGAUAAAGAUCACCUUUCAGAGGAGAAGAAUUUUAAAGAAUCCUGUCUGUUCGACAGGGAUUUAAGAGAGCAGUUAACUACUAUAGAUAAAGAAACACUUCAAGGAGCAGCUAAACCAGAUCUCCUCUGGCAAACACGACAUAUAAUAUUUUUAUAAUGGAUGGAAAGACAUGGUGGCACAAUUCUGAAGAAAAAAAUUUCACAAAACUUGCAAAAAAACAGAAACAGUUGAAGAGCAGCUCCUGUGUCUAAGCCAGGUCGUGGGG
rnacentral:misc_RNA from 1 species